AACGAACGCUGGCGGCAUGCCUAACACAUGCAAGUCGAACGAGACCUUCGGGUCUAGUGGCGCACGGGUGCGUAACGCGUGGGAACCUGCCCUUAGGUUCGGAAUAACUCCCCGAAAGGGGUGCUAAUACCGGAUAAUGUCUUCGGACCAAAGAUUUAUCGCCUUUGGAUGGGCCCGCGUUGGAUUAGCUAGUUGGUAGGGUAAAAGCCUACCAAGGCGACGAUCCAUAGCUGGUCUGAGAGGAUGAUCAGCCACACUGGGACUGAGACACGGCCCAGAAUCCUACGGGAGGCAGCAGUGGGGAAUAUUGGACAAUGGGCGAAAGCCUGAUCCAGCAAUGCCGCGUGAGUGAUGAAGGCCUUAGGGUUGUAAAGCUCUUUUACCCGGGAUGAUAAUGACAGUACCGGGAGAAUAAGCGCCGGCUAACUCCGUG
rnacentral:rRNA from 1 species